GAUGAACGAGGUCUUCAGCGUGGGCUCAGUAAGUAGCGCAGGUUGACAGUAUGCGUUAGUGCACUCUUAAGAUUCUAGCCUUGGUUUUGUGGCCUUGGGCUGAGGCUUGUAAAGUGGGAUCCGUACCACAUGACUGGUUUGAGUUUUGGUCCCAAGACGCAUCUGCCAGAGUGGGUCUACGAAUAGCCUGUCGAGGCCGGUUGUGUCCAGUGAAGUUUAUUAGCCAGUGGAUGUAUAGGCCAAGCUUUUAAAGGCAAGGGCCUUAAUCUUG
rnacentral:lncRNA from 1 species